GGCCAAGCUACAAGGGUGUAUAGUGGAUGCCUUGGCGCCAGAAGUCUAUGAAGGACGUGAUAAGCUGCGAUAAGCCGCGGGGAGGAGCAAAUAUCCUUUGAUCCGCGGAUCUCCGAAUCGGGAAACCGUCUGGGGUAAACCCCCAGAAUCUUCAGGUAAAGUGGCGGCCGUCAGGCCGCAAGAUAGCCUGUUGAAGACAACCCAGGGAAGUGAAACAUCUCAGUACCUGGAGGAAAAGAAAUCAACGAGAUUCCGUCAGUAGUGGCGAGCGAACGCGGAAUAGUCUAAACCAUUCGGGCUUGCUCGAGUGGGGUUGCAGGGUCCGUCCGGUGCAGAACCGGGAAGUUAAAACCGUAAGCUAGCAGAACGCUCUGGAAAGUGCGGCCAUAGCGGGUGACAGCCCCGUAUGCGAAAGCGAAGCGGCUUCCGAUGGAUACCUAAGUACUGCUGGGCACGUGAAAUCCGGCAGGAAUCCGGGGAGACCACUCUCCAAGACUAAAUACUCUCUGGCGACCGAUAGUGAACAAGUACCGCGAGGGAAAGGCGAAAAGAACCCGUGACCGGGAGUGAAAUAGAACCUGAAACUGUACAUCUACAAGCUGUCGAAGAGCUAUGCCCGACCGCAAGGAAGGGAAUGCUCGACGGCGUGCCUGUUGAAGAAUGAUCCGGCGAGUUACCGGGACGAGCGAGGUUAAGUCGGAAGUAAACGACGGAGCCGUAGCGAAAGCAAGUCUGAAUAGGGCGAUUAGUUCGUCGUGGUAGACUCGAAGCCAAGUGAUCUUACCCUGACCAGGAUGAAGGUGAGGUAAAACUUACUGGAGGUCCGAAGUGUUGAACGUUGAAAAGUUCCUACAUGAGUUGGGGUAAGGGGUGAAAGGCUAAUCGAACUUGGUGAUAGCUAGUUCUCCCCGAAAUAUCUAUAGGGAUAGCGUCGUGUGUUAACCCGCGGGGGUAGAGCACUGAAUGAUGUAGGCUGAGCGACCCUCGGUCCGAAUUCAAUCAAACUCCGAAUACCGCGGCGGAUUACACGGCAGUCAGUUCGUGAGGGAUAAGCUUCACGUGCAAGAGGGGAACAGCCCAGACCGCCGAUCUAGGUCCCAAAGUACAUGCUAAGUGGCAAAGGAUGUGGGUUUACAUAAACAGCUAGGAGGUUGGCUUAGAAGCAGCCAUCCUUUAAAGAGUGCGUAACAGCUCACUAGUCUAGCGAACCUGCGCCGAAAAUGACACGGGGCUAAGCAUGUCACCGCAAUCGCGGAUUUACGAGAGCGCGAGCUUUCGUAAGUGGUAGGGGAGCGUUCUUGAUGCAGCGAAGGCGUACCGUAAGGAGCGCUGGAGCGUCAAGAAGUGAGGAUGCCGGAAUAAGUAGCGAUAAACAAGGUGAGAAUCCUUGUCGCCGAAAGCCUAAGGUUUCCUUGAGCAACGUUCGUCGGCUCAGGGUCAGUCGGUCCUAAGUCGAGGCCGAAAGGCGUAGAUGAAGGGCAUCAGGUUAAUAUUCCUGAACUAUGGUAGACGCGUCAUCACCCAAGGAGGGACGCAGAAGGGUAAGCAAUCCUGGUAAUGGUUGUCCAGGUCUAAAGUCGUAGGCGUGGUCCGGCAGGAAAAUCCACCGGGCCGUCAAGCCGAAAGCUGAACGCGACUGCGGGUAACACCGCGGGAAGUUGCCCAACCACGCUGCCUAGAAAAACUUCGUGGGGAGUUUCUAUCAUAUCCGUACCGUAAUCCGACACAGGUGGGCGAGCUGAAUAUGCUAAGGCGCGCGAGAUAACCUACGUUAAGGAACUAGGCAAACUGGUCCCGUAACUUCGGAAGAAGGGACGCCCCGGUAGCGACGUGAGAUUAAAAGCCCACGGCGUGAAAGGGCCGCAGUGAAAUGGGAAUCGUGACUGUUUAACAAAAACUUAGCUCUCUGCUGAAAUCGCAAGAUGACGUAUAGGGAGUGAUGCCUGCCCGGUGCUGGAAGGUCAAGGGGAGGAGUCAGCCGCAAGGCGAAGCUUCGAACUUAAGCCCCAGUAAACGGCGGCGGUAACUAUAACCGUCCUAAGGUAGCGAAAUUCCUUGUCGGGUAAGUUCCGACCUGCACGAAUGGCAUAACAAAGAUUCCGCUGUCUCAACGUAGGGCUCGGCGAAAUUGUGGUGCAAGUGAAGACGCUUGCUGCGCGUAUCUAGACGAAAAGACCCCGUGGAGCUUUACUGUAUCUUGUCAUUGGAUUACGGUUUUAAAUGCGUAGAAUAGGUGGGAGCCGGUGAUGUCAGGGUUUUGGCCCUGGCGGAGGCAACUGUGAAAUACCACCCUUUUGGAACUGUGAUUCUAACCUCGAGCCGUCAUCCGGCAGAGGGACAUUGGCAGGUGGGCAGUUUGACUGGGGCGGUCGCCUCCUAAAGAGUAACGGAGGCGUACCAAGGUUCCCUCAGGGCGAAUAGAAAUCGCCUGUCGAGCGCAAUGGUAGAAGGGAGCUUGACUGCGAGGCCGACGGGCCGAGCAGGUACGAAAGUAGGUCAUAGUGAUCCGGUGGUACCUCGUGGGAGGGCCAUCGCUCAACGGAUAAAAGCUACCCCGGGGAUAACAGGCUGAUCGGGUCCAAGAGUCCACAUCGACGACCCGGUUUGGCACCUCGAUGUCGGCUCAUCGCAUCCUCCCGCUGAAGCAGGUGGGAAGGGUUGGGCUGUUCGCCCAUUAAAGCGGUACGUGAGCUGGGUUCAGUACGUCGUGAGACAGUACGGUCUCUAUCUGAUAUGCGCGCAGGAAACUUGAGGGGAGCUGACCACAGUACGAGAGGACCUGGUUGGACGAACCUCCCGUAUACCAGCUGUCGUGCCAACGGCAUAAGCUGGGUAGCGGUGUUCGGUAGGGAUAAACGCUGAAAGCAUCUAAGCGUGAAACCCGCCCCAAGAUAAGGUUUCCCUGGACGUAAGUCCCAGAAGGCCCCCGGAAGACUACCGGGUUGAUAGGCUGGGUGUGUAAGCAUAGUAAUAUGUUGAGCUAACCAGUACUAAUCGGCCGUGCGGCUUGGCCUU
rnacentral:rRNA from 1 species